CCUAAGCCUAAGGCUAAAUAUAAACCUAAGCCUAAGCCUAAGCCUAAGCCUAAC
rnacentral:sRNA from 1 species